ensembl:snRNA U6 U6 spliceosomal RNA
GUGUGCUUGCUUUGGCACACAUAUACUAAAAUUGGAAUGAAACAGAGAAGAUUAGCAUGACCCCUGCACAAGGAUGACAUGAAAAUUCAUGAAGAGUUCCAUAUUUUU